GCUUUCGUGGUGUAGUGGUCAGCACACUCGGCAUGUAAUCUAGAGGUCUGUGGUUCGAGUCUCGGUGAAGGCA
rfam:Stegodyphus mimosarum contig36290, whole genome shotgun sequence.